rnacentral:tRNA from 1 species
GCCGAGAUGGCGGAAUUGGUAGACGCGCUAGGUUGAGGGCCUAGUGGGGUGUAAGCCCUGUGGAGGUACGAGUCCUCUUCUCGGCA